AGUGAACGCUGGCGGUAGGCCUAACACAUGCCAGUCGAACGGCAGCACAGUAAGGGCUUGCUCUUACGGGUGGCGAGUGGCGGACGGGUGAGGAAUACAUCGGAAUCUACUUUUUCGUGGGGGAUAACGUAGGGAAACUUACGCUAAUACCGCAUCCGACCUACGGGUGAAAGCAGGGGAUCUUCGGACCUUGCGCGAUUGAAUGAGCCGAUGUCGGAUUAGCUAGUUGGCGGGGUAAAGGCCCACCAAGGCGACGAUCCGUAGCUGGUCUGAGAGGAUGAUCAGCCACACUAGAACGUAGACGCGGUCCAGACGCCUACGGGAGGCAGCAGUGGGGAAUAUUGGACAAUGGGCGCAAGCCUGAUCCAGUCAUACCGCGUGGGUGAAGAAGGCCUUCGGGUUGUAAAGCCCUUUUGUGGGGAAAGAAAAGCAGCAGGUUAAUACCCCGCUGUUCUGACGGUACCCAAAGAAUAAGCACCGGCUAACUUCGUG
rnacentral:rRNA from 1 species